CUGUCCCUGUGUGCCUUGUCAGAUCGUCACUCGUGUUUCACCCAUGCUUCCUUGUGCUUCCCCAUGCUACGUCGUGUCUUGCCUGGUUUGUGUUUUUUCAGUUUUUCUUGUUGCCUCGAUUUUUGAAAUUGUAAGCUUUGUUAAAUAAAGCUCUCUUUUUGUUAACAUUUUCUUGCGUUCUGCAUUUGGGUCCUCAGCUUUACCGAGUCGUAACACACCUAGUUUUGCAGAUUUUAUUAAAAUAUUCCCUCCACCAGCAUGGCCUCCUUCUCUUCACUACCACAGAUCACAGAAGGAAAACUUCUCCAACAGUCUCUGCCGCUGUGAAGAGAAAUCUUUCUAGGACAUUUUACGGGCCCUUCAAUCCAAAUCCGGCGAGGAAACAGCUUCUUCCUUCCCACUGUGAAUGAUCACAGUCUGAAAGGCUGUCACCGGCGUCCUGCCAUAGGUUCCCAUCGCACACUCUUUCAGUUUGGAGUCAACAGGGGACGGUGAAAUCCAGAGAGGCCGGGCUUCGCUGUUUGGGUGAAUACAGACGAGACGCCGGCUCCCUUGUCUCUCCGAGAAGCAGUGGAGCGUCCACUACUAUCUCACACACUGGCAAACUUCCACCCAGCUAUCUCAUACCUUUCAUUUUAGGGUUUAUGAACUCGCAUGCAUGCAAGAGCGAACACACGCACACGCGCGGGGAACAGGAAAGUGAAAAAUGCACAUAGCUGUUGGCGUGGCAAACUCCUUCAAUUUAGAUGUUUUCAUGCAUUUACUGAAGUGCGAGACUUAAAUACGUUCAGGCUUUGUUACUUUACUUGAAUAUAUUUUAACUUUCUUUGAUCCUUGCACUACAUUAUGAAGAGUUCUGUAGUUUUUACUCGACUACGUUUAUAUAGUGUUACUGGUUCAGAUUUUACGUUCAUCAAAAUCUUGCACCUUUUCAAGACCUCUUGUUCAACAGGCUCCUUUCAUCUGAAUGACACAAUGCAUUUUCGUUUUCUCAACGUGUAAUCCCUCAGAUGAUCUGAAAGCAGGGAAACCUCAGAUUGUGUGUUUUUACUGCUUUUAUAUAGCUUUUACGAUCACUCAAAGUGCUUCACAACACAUGUCAUUCUCCCAUUCAUACAGUGUCAGCGGCUACAGGGGCUACAACGUGCACCAUUCACAUACACACCGUUGGCCAUCGGUAGCAAUUUGGGGUUCAGUGUCUCGCCCAAGGACACUUUGACAUGCUGACUACAGGACUGGAGAUCGAACCGACCGACCUUCCAACCAGUGGACGACCACUCUACCUCCUGAGCCUACAGCCACCCUGUGUCAUGUCAUGUGUUCAGAUGUUUCACAAUUUAUAUAUUAACACAUACCAAGUAUCUGCUAACGACAUUUCCCACAAUGACAACAUUUGAGUACAUUUUUGUUAGAAAAGGGAAGCUGCUAUAAUUUACUGCAGUCUUUCCCUGAAGUUCUGGACCCAAAAAUGGCUUUGUGGAUGUGUAUUUAUUGGGUGGUCAACUGGCAGAGUAAAGUGCAUAACAGUGCUAUCAUGUAUGAAUUAUUUUUCCAAAUUAAAAUAUGAGAUUCUUCUUUU